UACAGAGGGUGCAAGCGUUGUUCGGAAUUAUUGGGCGUAAAGGGCGCGUAGGCGGUGCGGUAAGUCUGUAGUGAAAUCUCUGGGCUCAACUCAGAGUCUGCAAGGGAAACUGCCGGGCUUGAGUGUGGGAGAGGUGAGUGGAAUUUCCGGUGUAGCGGUGAAAUGCGUAGAUAUCGGAAGGAACACCUGUGGCGAAAGCGGCUCACUGGACCACAACUGACGCUGAGGCGCGAAAGCUAGGGGAGCAAACAGG
rnacentral:rRNA from 1 species